rnacentral:rRNA from 1 species
GACAGAGGGUGCAAGCGUUGUUCGGAAUUAUUGGGCGUAAAGGGCGCGUAGGCGGCCUCGCAAGUCAGAUGUGAAAUCCCUGGGCUUAACCCAGGAACUGCAUCUGAUACUGCUUGGCUUGAAUCUCGGAGAGGGUGGUGGAAUUCCUGGUGUAGAGGUGAAAUUCGUAGAUAUCAGGAGGAACACCGGUGGCGAAGGCGACCACCUGGACGAUGAUUGACGCUGAGGCGCGAAAGCGUGGGAAGCAAAC